GACGAACGCUGGCGGCGUGCCUAAUACAUGCAAGUCGAACGAAGCUUUUUUAACUGGUGCUUGCACCGACUUAAACAACUGAGUGGCGAACGGGUGAGUAACACGUGGGUAACCUGCCCCAAAGCGGGGGAUAACAUUUGGAAACAGAUGCUAAUACCGCAUAACCACAGAAACCACAUGGUUUCUGUGUCAAAGAUGGUUUCGGCUAUCACUUUUGGAUGGACCCGCGGCGUAUUAGCUAGUUGGUAAGGUAAUGGCUUACCAAGGCAAUGAUACGUAGCCGAACUGAGAGGUUGAUCGGCCACAUUGGGACUGAGACACGGCCCAAACUCCUACGGGAAGCAGCAGUAGGGAAUCUUCCACAAUGGACGAAAGUCUGAUGGAGCAACGCCGCGUGAGUGAAGAAGGUUUUCGGAUCGUAAAACUCUGUUGUCAGAGAAGAACGUGUGCGAGAGUAACUGUUCGUGCAGUGACGGUAUCUGGCCAGAAAGCCACGGCUAACUACGUGCCAGCCGCCGCGGUAA
rnacentral:rRNA from 1 species